AGAGUUUGAUCCUGGCUCAGGACGAACGCUGGCGGCGCGCCUCAUACAUGCAAGUCGAGCGAGAAACUCGGAGCUUGCUCCGGGUGGACAGCGGCGAACGGGUGAGGAACACGUGAGGAACCUGCCCCGAAGACCGGGAUAACACCAGGAAACCGGUGCUAAUACCGGAUGCCCUCACCGGAUCGCAUGGUCCGGCGAGGAAAUGGAUUCCGCUUCGGGAUGGUCUCGCGGCCUAUCAGCUUGUUGGCGGGGUAAUGGCCCACCAAGGCUUCGACGGGUAGCUGGUCUGAGAGGAUGUCCAGCCACACUGGGACUGAGACACGGCCCAGACUCCUACGGGAGGCAGCAGUAGGGAAUCUUGCGCAAUGGGCGAAAGCCUGACGCAGCGACGCCGCGUGCGGGAUGACGGCCUUCGGGUUGUAAA
rnacentral:rRNA from 1 species